GACGAACGCUGGCGGCGUGCUUAACACAUGCAAGUCGAACGGAAAGGCCCUGCUUUUGUGGGGUGCUCGAGUGGCGAACGGGUGAGUAACACGUGAGUAACCUGCCCUUGACUUUGGGAUAACUUCAGGAAACUGGGGCUAAUACCGGAUAGGAGCUCCUGCUGCAUGGUGGGGGUUGGAAAGUUUCGGCGGUUGGGGAUGGACUCGCGGCUUAUCAGCUUGUUGGUGGGGUAGUGGCUUACCAAGGCUUUGACGGGUAGCCGGGCUGAGAGGGUGACCGGCCACCUUGGGACUGAGAUACGGCCCAGACUCCUACGGGAGGCAGCAGUGGGGAAUAUUGCACAAUGGGCGGAAGCCUGAUGCAGCAACGCCGCGUGCGGGAUGACGGCCUUCGGGUUGUAAACCGCUUUCGCCUGUGACGAAGCGUGAGUGACGGUAAUGGGUAAAGAAGCACCGGCUAACUACGUG
rnacentral:rRNA from 1 species